UCUCCCACACAAUGCCCAGGCCCCCACUCCUCUCCUCCUCCUCCUUGCACUUCCUCCAGAGCUUUUGUCUUCUGGUCCCUUGGGCUGUGAGGCUCUCAUUCCAUUAAAUUCAAAACUGAGGCCUCUGGGGAAAGGGUCUGGCACUUUCUCUCCCUCCCCUUAUCUCCCACUUGGCUGUGCCACGUCCUCACCUGCCUGGUGCACAGAUAAGCCUAGCUGUGAGAAGAGGGGCAAGUUGCUGACUGCCUCACAUCUGUCCCAGCGCCCCCACCUCCCCCCCCCACCCCGGAAACCCCACGGGGGCUGCGGUUCCCUCUCUGGAUCAGGCCUUGGGUGGCUGGAAGUCUCCAUACUCUUAGAAAUCGAGGUCCUCACACCCACCUCAGUACCCUAACCUGGCUGCGUAGAAAAAGCUAGGAAUUGUGGCUGUACCAGUUUUUAGGUACGAUCUGGGGUUCACAUGCGGGCUCCUGGAAAAGGUCACCAACCAGAGCUGCACUGUGCGAAAGGGGCGGAAGAACAAACAAUAACCAUGAGACAACACCGUGGCUUCUGAAACAGUUAAAGAGAUGCUGCCCCAUUAAGCUCCAAGGUAAUGCCCGAGUCCACGGGACCUAUACUUGGCCUCGCCUGUUC